UUGAGGUCCGGAUUAUAGAUCAUUCCGAAUUAUAGGUGUCCGAAUUAACGACUUUUGACUGUAUAUGAGAGAUAUCCUUGCAAAGGCUGCAUUUUUUAAUAAACUCCUUAGCUAAUUCACUCAUGCAUGCAAAUUAUUUAUUGCAUAAACAUUUUCGUGAGAGUAAAUAAGCACAUGUAAUGCUAAAUGAUCUUUGAAUUUAAAUGAACUGCUAUAUUUAGCACAUGUUUAUAAUUUCUCAAAUCCUCAGCCAAAAUCAACAAAAAUUAAAUAACCUUAGUAAAGAUCAAUGUGUUGAAAGAAAAAUUGACUGUGUUUUUGGAACAUCAGGGCAUGCAGUUUAUACUCUUGCUAUUUGGAGAAGUCAUCGAGCUCUAUGGAAGCAUUUUACAUUGAAUGAUCAAUAUAAGUGUUUUAUUAAUUAACUUGUAAGUUGGAAUUUUUAAGACUGGUCAUUCAUGAUUAUUAGUAUCAAACAUCAAUUAUAAUCUCUAAAAUUUUGUGAUGUUUUAAUUUAAAAAUGAUUUCUUUUCUUACAUUUUGUUUUCUUCUUUUUUGUUGCUGUCAAAAGUAAAACAUAUUAUUAGAAAAGACAUUUUGUCUUUAUAGGAUAAUGUGUGAAUCCUUUCUUCAAAUCUUCAUAGCUCUCCACUGGUUUGAUAGAAGUAAUUGUUGACAUGAAUUAAACAAAGGCCUUUUCUUUCAUACUGACAGUUCUUUCUUUUAUAUUUAAUGCAAAUAACUUCACAUUAUGUAUAUCGUUUCUUUGUAAUAGGAGUUUAAAUUAUGCCCUGUUAAACAAAUAAUAGCUCACAUUUCUCACAUAUUAUUUUUUAUUUUAUGUAAAGGGGAGGGCCAGAUUGAAGCACAGAUGACCUAGGCAGUUACUAUGAUAUAUAUAAAGGUAUGUGAAGACAAAUUGGAACAUUAUCUAGUCACCAGUAAAGUAUCAGAAACCAAUGAACGUUCGUUUUGGAUGUGGGCAUCGGCUGCACACUAAGUUAUGCAAAUAACAGGAAAAAUAUAAAGCAUCCCAAAAUGUGGAAAUGAUUAUGUUAUUUUUAGACAAAGUUGACAUAAUGAAUUAAUAAUUUUAAUUAUUGUUUAAUUCAUGUUAAAUAGUUAUUGUAUAAAUAAUACAUCUGCAUGAAAGAA